ACUUCCGGUGCCCGAACUUCCUCGCGAGAGCACGGAGGCGAGGUUUCGAUCAGCCAGAGUCCCUUCAACAGUCUCCAAACCGGUGGUCCUCAGUCUUGCUUGCUCAGUAGAGGUUUUUUGUUUCUUUUGCUUUAAACACCGUGCCCAGGCAGCAAGCCAGACUGAUGAAAAGCGCUUCCCUGGUGGCUCAGACGAGAUGGGUCUUUUACCUUGCUUUUUCUGCAAACUAUUAAGCAUGGUCCCCAAAUUUGUCCAGAGGCAGUAUCCCAAGGUGAACUAAUAUAAAACUGUUGCAGUGCUCCUUUGGUGGUGCUGAGUGCAGUUGCAAAUGCUUCCAGAUCAUUGUCUGCCUGACCCCAACUUGAAAAGGACUGUGAACAAAGCUACACCCUCAGUGUUACAAGACAGAGGAGAGUAACUACCUACAUAUUAUGAAACCUUCACAGAUAAGUAUGAAUUUCCCCCAAGAUAAGUAUAACAACAUAGGAAAUAUCAUAGGUGUGAAGUUCCAGAUGUGGCCAUCUGGAAAUAAGAAAAAAUUUGGUUGUAAGUACAUUCAUCAAAUUGUUUACAAUAGUGAAAAAUGGAAACAGCUGCCCAACCACAGAAGACUGAUUAAAUACAAUAUAUCCAUACUUAAGAAUAAUACUGUCAUUAUAUAUAUAAACUGAUGUUCACAUCUUUAUGAGAGGAUUACAAAACUAUUUUUACAAUUCUAUUUUUUAAAAAUUUAAAGUGUCUGUAGCUAUUUAUACAGUAAUCUUAUUUUUGGAAGAAAAUACACAUAAGCUGUGACAGUUAUCUCUGGGUAGUAGAAUCAGAGUUACUUUUCAUUUUCUUUGACUCAGGUGGCUCAUGUAUUAAGUGUAAAGUUAACAGGCAGCAACUUUUAUUUCCUUUUGUCUUCUUUAAACAUGUAGAACGUUUAGGCUAUCUCGUUUUUUCCCACUCCUCACCUCCACAUUUGCAAGUGAAGAAACUGGCCUAUCUAAUUAGGGUUAGUUUCUUAAAGACAAACAGAUGUCACAGUUGCAGUCUGCAGGGGUACUAAGCUGUGCAAUAGUGUGAGAAUCUUGUGACUGUUCAGCUAAAGGGAUAUAACUUACCCCUUGAAUCUCUGAGAUCUGCUUGCUCAGUUUUGAUGCUUUCCCUCCCCCUCAAUCUUGCAGAGUUAACAUUUAUACUAAGUCUCUUGAAAUCAAAUUGUAGAGAUCUUACCGUCACUUUAUCAAUGACCUUCUAGCUGACCCUCAAGUAAUUUAAUCCAUGUCCUAAUUUCCAGUUAAAACCACAUCAAAUAAGUCAAAUUAGAUUUUUCCUUUGCAUUUUUUUAAAGCUUUUCUUUCUUGGCAGCUCUAAGUGUAUUAGCGUCUUACUAUUAGGCAGCACAGUUGGGUUUGGAGGCAUGAAUGACCAUUUCCAUUCACAUGACCCAACCCUGAUUUAUGAGGAGCUUCUACUGGGUGAGUGAAGAACAGUGUUAGCCUGGGUACUAACUUCCAGUUAACUGUGUUAGCUUCCCAGGCUUGUGGAAGAAGGAAGGCAGCCAUGGGUCCUGCAGCUGGUUGUCUCUGACAUCACCGUGUGCAAGACACAGCUCAGGGAGCCAGUGAAGGAGGAAAUGUGGAUACAAAGAGACACCCAAGAAAGACCAUGUGAGGACAGAGAGAGAAGGCAACCACCUGCAAGCCAAGGACAGAGGCCGCAGAAGAACCAAGCCUGUCAACACGUUUAUCCUGAACUUCCAGGCUCUAGAACUGUGACAAAGUUAAUUACUGUUGUUUAAGCCAUCAAUACAUUUGUUAUAGUAGCCCUAGCAAAUUAAUAUACCUACCACCUGAAAACCUGUAGAAAAUUCCAUACUUUCAAGUUUCUACUGAGUACCUAACAACACUUAGGAGACAUGAGACUCUAAGAAGUGGGUACUGACAUUAAGAAACUGAAACCUUUCGGGGAAACAGAAGCUGUCAAUACAAUCAUGGAAUAAUACAUAAAAAGUGACUCAAGUGUGCUGCAGAAUAGUAAGCGGCUUGCAGAGGAAGGUCUUAGCUGGUAUCAGUCUCAAACUCACCAGGAGAGAGUGGGAUUGGGACCAGGGCCUAAAGGCUCCGUAACACUUUAAAAGAUGGCUGUAUGGAGGGAAAUAUUCCAAACAGAAAAAAGAGAAUGGGAUGGAAAGAUUGAGGCAUACCAGAGAAAUAAAUUAGUCCAAAUGUCACACUAAAUGUAGGGGAAAAAAAAUCUAAUCUCAUUCAGGGCCUACAAAGUGACAAAAAGCGACGAAGUACAAAAAUAUGACAAAGUAAAGUCAUAUUUCAUUACGUUAUGUAAUAUAAACAAGAAACAGAAUGAAACUUAGCUGCAAUUAUUUAAGAAAAAUGUCCUUUUCGGGAACUUCCCUAGUGGUCCAGUGGUUAAGACUCCACAUUUUCACUGCAGGGAGCCCAGGUUCAAUCCCUGGUGGGAGAACUAAGAUUCCACAUGCCACAAGGCAUGGCCAAAAAAAAAUUUCCUUUUAAAAAGCUUAAAAAGGUUUGUCUGUCAAAUUUCAGGGAUUUUCUUUUACUGCUGUUUUAAGUAACUAUCUUAAUGUUCAGCUAUGCAGAUUCCUAAUUAGAACAAAUGACCUCAUCUCCCAUCACACUUUAUACCUCCCAGAGACAUUUUCACAUUCUGUUAGUUUAUCCUCUGAGAAAAGAAAGAGGUUAAGUCCUUAAAAUUACCAUUAACUGAACAUAAGAAC
ensembl:lncRNA